UCAAGUACAUUGUUCUGUGUGUGGGGGAACAGCUAGUUUUGUUAGCCACAGUGAAGUGAAACUGGGAGAUGUGUAUCCAUAUUCUCUGCCCUCCCUCCUUUUUUAUGUAGGUUUGAAUCCUGAAGUGAAGAUCCAUUAAAUUCUGUCUUCUGGGACCAUGGACAUAUUUUUUUUUAGUCUGAACAUCCGAUGAGAAAAAUAACAUGAAGAAUUUCUGAUACCUGAAACAGGAAGCAGCGGGGUACAAUUGGAUUGGAAAUGGCAUUGUGUGAAUUCAUGACUACUACUUCUUUAUCAAACCCUGGUUCCCUGAAGAUAGCAGACCAAGGACUUGAGGAGUAGCUGUGGAAUAUAUAAAUAUAUAAAUGGUCAUUUGAACACCCAGUUGUGUGAAAGGCAUUGUCAAGGUAAGUACUGUAAUCGGAAACAGCUUUCUCAAUUUAGCACCGAGUCUGUCCCACAAUAGCAGUCAUUCCGAUUGGAUGUGCAGCUAGUCCCAUACCUAUACAAACAGAAUGUUGUAAGUGAGUCAUUCUACACGUUUAAUCAAAUCUGAAACUGUUAGGCUACCAAGUAGCUUCAGCCCUGCAAUAUAAAUCAUGAACUGUUUAAUAUAAAUAUUUAUGUGCUUGGCCCCUGAGUCAAUGGAGAAAAAAAGGUCAGUAAAUUUCACAAAAGUAACAAAGCAAAAACAAAUUGAAUUAUAGUGGUAUGUUGAUAAUGAUUGCAUAGAAAUGUGGUCAGAUGCUUGCAUUGUUACAGCUUGUAAAAGUAACUGAAAGCUCUGGAGCAAGUGUUUCCUGUUUGUGUCAUGGUCCACACCAGCAUGUUGAGUUUUGUAUUUUUUUUAAAACUAAUUAUAGCAGUUUUCUUCAAAACAUAAGUCAGAAACAGUAGCUAGUGCUGCUUUGUGUCAGCAGGCACAGAUUUAUCACAGCUGAGUAACUCCUGUACACUGGAAGCCAGAUUUUUUUCUGUUUCAAAAACAAAAGGUAGCACAUAAAGUAGCUCUUAAAUGUAUGUAUUUAUUUAAAGUCUGGUAUAAAGCACUUAUAAGCUUAUUAAACCAGUCAAUUUAUUCUUCUAUUUCUAUUUUGAAUUGAGGUUCAUAAUUGUGAUCAUAACCUUAUCAGGACAGUCACUUGAGGUAAGAAAACCAGGCUCAUUCAGAAGGAGCAUGCUUCUGACUUGUAUAGGCAUGUGUAAACUUGAAGUGGAAAGAUUUUAUCUGAAAGCCAUGGCAACACACCAGACUUUAUGUCUGUAUGGGUCAAACCUGUAGGGGUCAGAUCAGUUUAGUAUUCACUACAGACUAUAAAGAGGUGUGGAAUAAAGGGAAAUGAC